rnacentral:sRNA from 1 species
CGUAACGGAUUCUAGGGUUCCAGCCGCGUGCGGUGUUCGGUCCGAGAGAAUCCGCCCCGCGAUGUGCGGGGUACACGGAGGGAUAAAAACCCGGGAGGC